rnacentral:rRNA from 1 species
UAGGGAAUCUUCCGCAAUGGACGCAAGUCUGACGGAGCAACGCCGCGUGAGUGAAGAAGGAUUUCGGUUCGUAAAACUCUGUUGUUAGAGAAGAACAGCGCAUAGAGUAACUGUUAUGCGUGUGACGGUAUCUAACCAGAAAGCCACGGCUAACUACGUGCCAGCAGCCGCGGUAAUACGUAGGUGGCAAGCGUUGUCCGGAUUUAUUGGGCGUAAAGCGAGCGCAGGCGGUCAAUUAAGUCUGAUGUGAAAGCCCCCGGCUCAACCGGGGAGGGUCAUUGGAAACUGGUUGACUUGAGUGCAGAAGAGGAGAGUGGAAUUCCAUGUGUAGCGGUGAAAUGCGUAGAUAUAUGGAGGAAAACCGGUGGCGAAAGCGGCUCUCUGGUCUGUAACUGACGCUGAGGCUCGAAAGCGUGGGGAGCGAACAGG